GGAAUAAACUUCACCUCCGUCUCUUAAUCUCCAGUGAGUUGAUGAAUGUUCAGAACAAGGGUGAGCUCUAGCUUUCUUUCCCUAAUUGCAAACUGCUCUUGCAUUCUACCUGGUCUUCACCCUACCUCUCAUUCCCACCCUGUAAAUGGCUGUGAUAGUGUGCUCAUGAAAUCUUCCUUCCAGGGAUUGGACGGAGAGGGUGUGUUUUGCCCACAGAAGAGCUCCAUGGAAGAAGGAUGGGAUGCCAAUGUGAG
rnacentral:lncRNA from 11 species